rnacentral:rRNA from 14 species
GCGGAAGUGAACCCGGAGAACUGAAACAUCUAAGUACCCGGAGGAAGAGAAAACAAUAGUGAUUCCGCAAGUAGUGGCGAGCGAACGCGGAACAGCCCAAACCAUGGCAGUUAAGGCUGCUAUGGGGUUGUAGGACUGCAACAUGGACUUAUACAAUGAACAUGAACUGGGUGGGAAACCAGACCAUAGAGGGUGAGAGUCCCGUAACGGAAAGUUGUAUAUACCUAGCAGUAUCCUGAGUAGGACGGGACCGGAGAAAUCCCGUUUGAAUCUACCGGCACCAUCCGGUAAGGCUAAAUACUACUGAGAGACCGAUAGCGAA